UAUCUAAUCUAUUGUAGAGUAACUACUAAUAGAUAAGUAAUUUGGACCAUUAAUUUACCUACCAAAGCAAUUUCUUGGAUUUUGUAAUUUGUAAACUCAGGCCAUAUUAUGCGAUACAUGAUAAAAUAAGGCCACCAAAAAGACACCCUGUUCCCCCCGAACGGGGACCCUGGAAUAAACCAUAAUAUGUUUAAAUUAUGAUGUUUCUGAUUUUGUUUGUAAGUAAUUGUAUUAAUUAUAUUGUAUAUAAGUAUGUUAUGCAUAUAGGUACCUAUUAAUAUAUUAUACAACUUUGAACUUGUAAACAAUAAAAUAUCGUAGUGCAGGUUUAUUUAAAUCCAAGUGACGUGUUAUAUUAAAAAAUACAGUCGUCUGUUAGAUCCAAAAACGGCGCAACCGGUAAAUCAAAGACCCGCUAGACAGACACACAUAAGCUUACACGGAAAUAUUUUCUUCGGCUCAUCGAUCUAUACUGUAGUGUGCACGCCACUUUACCGAUUAAUAUACAUAAUAAUAUAACAUAAUGUGUCAGGUAACUAUUAGCUAUGAGGAACAUAAACGCGAUUUGAAUUUGAACUCAUUUCCCGGACAAUCGUAUUUUGAUUGGAAAUUUUUAAGGUCUCUUUAUUUCUGUAUUAUAUACGUGUGUACAGACGUCAAGUUUUUUUUCAUAGGAAUUCGCGUCGCGAGCAUACGACACGACAGAAUCGUCGAAACGUUUUUACACGCCGGUACUCGGAGAAAUACAUAAUAUACGUGCAAUACAAGACUACGAUGGACACGCGGAUUAGAUAUAUCGCCCGAAGAACACCGACUCUCGGCUGCUGCAGUCGUCGGCGGCGGCGGCGAUGACAAAUGCUCGCCGCUGCACCACUUACACUUUACACACACACAUACACAAACAGGUGUGUAUAAUAUACAUUAUAAUACGAAAGCCGCUCUCACACACACGCACAAAAUAUGAUUGAUGUUCCGACCAUGACCGUAUGAAUAUUUUAGGAAUGCGACACUACGACGCGGGACCCGGUUAUAUAUAUUAUUAGGUAUAUAUUAUUAUACACAUUAUUAUGUAUACACAUAUAUAAAUGUGAAUACGCGUGUACAGAGUGAACGUAAAAUAAUUUACAUCUGCACUCGGCUACAUACUUACCCGUAUAAUGUGUGUGUAUUUGUAUACAGGGUGCUGAUUUACCAAAAACGUUCGCCCCUUUUCUUCUUCAAUAACACCGUAGCACCUAAUUAUUUAAAAUCUGAGUUUUUGAUUUUUUAAAUAUACUUUAAGAUCACGUUUUUCUUAAAUUUUUUUGUACUAGGUACGCCGUUAAGAACGUACCGUGGAGAUACAAUAGAUUCUGUUUUUCUAACGAAACCCCCUUUUUUACUGCACUUAAGUCAUUUAGCAAAUAUAUUUUUAUUUUCAAAAACAAAAUUUCAACGAAUAGUUUUUGAAUUAUUUAACUUUGUGUACUACUAAGGAUAACAGGCCCAUAUAGUAAUGGGCUAGAAAGAUUAAGGGGCUAUGGUGACUUUGAAAUGUUAGUAAUAAUUAGUAUUGAUCUACUCACAUUCAUAGUUUAUGAAAAUGGUCCAAAUACUAGAUAAUAUGAUCUAUUUUAAUAACUGAAAUACUAUUCUAUUGUUAGUUUUUUGAACUAGGCAGGUACUUAUACAUUUUUUUAAAAAUAUUUUUAGCUAGAUAAUUUGCAGUAAAAAAUAUGGUUCUCGUUUGAAAAUAGAAAUUUGUAUUACCACAGAACUCUUUUUAAGAAGAUACAGUACAAAAUAUCUCGAGAAUUGGUAAAUAUAUAGCUUUAAGUAGGUAUAUUUAAGCAUUCCAAAAAUCAGAAAUUGAAUAAAUUCUUUAUUAAAUGAAUAAUAGGGGUUAGUAUGCUUGGUGAAUCACCCUGUAUAUACAUAUUAUGUGGUGAUGCAGCUGUUUGUUGUUGUUAUUAUUAUUAUUUUUAUUUUACUAUUCGUCACUAUACACGACCGGCAUAUAUAUAUCGUAAGUAUAUAGGUAUGUAUACGCGACGAACAGAUUAAUACCAAUACUAUUCGGCUAACAGAUACAGAUAUAAUAUUUUAUAUUGUUGAACAUAUAUUUUAUUUAAUAAUAUUUUUAUAGAUAGGUGCUAGGUACCUCUGCACUAGAGCUUAAUAAUAUAUGUUCGAGUGGUAUGUAUACCUAUACUAUAUUGUAUAUGUAUUAUAUAUACAUACAUACAUAUAUUUUUAACAUUGCGUCGUCCGGUCAUCGUCGUAUACAUAUUAUGUACACAAGAAAUAGACGAGAUCUCAAUCCAAAAUCGAAUUUACAUAUUAUAUUCAAAUGAAGCACGCGUAUAUUUUACGAUAUCAUCUAUGUAAAGGUGCGAGGGCAAACGAUCGUUUUUUUUUUAUUACUUUUUUUCUCAGUAUUUUUUCACAUUAACCAUCAUGUACGAAAUAAUAUCCACAGUGUGUUUCCGAUUGCGAAUGAAUCCGAUCGACAGUUAUUAUAUUAUAAUAUGUACGUUGACCAUUACGAAAAGUUUUCUUUUUAUGACUUUUAACUAGCUGAUAUUAUAUGCGUGUAUACGUGGUUUGCAUAAAGGUGGUAGGUACCGUUACGAAAACGAUGCCAAUUUGCGUUCAUUGAUUCAAUAUAUUAUUUUUUAUAUCGCCUAGAAAUAUUGUAAAUAGGUAUAUAUGUAUUAUAUUAUCAAUAGAAAUACUUCUAGUGUUGACUUUUAAAAGUUUUUUUUUAGUAGAAUGCACCAUUUAAUAUUUAUAUUUAUUUAUUAUUUGUAUAAUAAUCAAACUAUGUGAAUGUAUUAAAAUAUAUAUUUCUCUAGUAAUAUUAUAACUAGUCAUUUAAAAAAAAUCAUAUAUUUUAUUAUUAUUAUAGUAGUAUGUAAUACCUUAAUUGUAAAUUGUAUCUACUAUAUAGGUGUGUUUAAUUUUUAAAAUUAUAGGCUGAAAAUCAUAUUUUAUUUACUUUGAUUGGUACCGAUGUAUCUAUACAAUUUUAUUGUGACAUGAAAACAUAAUUUUGUUUUAAGGUACACAAAAUAUUGUAAUAGCUAGUAGCCACUAGCUGUAGGUACGUGUAUGAAUAUCGUUUGUAUUUUGUGUGUAUAUUCUUAGGUGCUCUUAAUGGAUGUUUUCCUCACCAUGUCAAAUACAAUGUAAUUAUCAUACCAUAUAUUUGUAUUAUUAUUUUAAGUUAUUAAAAAAAUAUAAGCAUAUCUCGAUCAUGUUAAAAUUGUUUUUAGGGUUACGCGCCCUAUGUUUCUUAAUAACUAUAGUUAUUCAAUAAUAAAAAAAAUGGUGAAGUACAUUUUUAGUUGAUCGUGACUAAAAAAAGUUUUGCCACCUCUGCUAUAGAUCAUAAAGUAUUUCUGUUUUUUUUCUGGAUUAUCAUUUAUUUAAACUUUGUAUAUUACAGAUUGGUAUAAUGUAAAUAUAUAUAUGUAUAAUUUAUA